GAUGAAGAACGUAGCGAAACGCGAUAAGUAAUGUGAAUUGCAGAAUCCAGUGAAUCAUCGAAUCUUUGAACGCACAUUGCGCCCGCCAGCAUUCUGGCGGGCAUGCCUGUUCGAGCGUCAUUUCAACCCUCGACCUCCCCUUGGGGAGGUCGGCGUUGGGGACCGGCAGCACACCGCCGGCCCUGAAAUGGAGUGGCGGCCCGUCCGCGGCGACCUCUGCGCAGUAAUACAGCUCGCACCGGGACCCCGACGCGGCCACGCCGUAAAACACCCAACUUCUGAACGUUGACCUCGAAUCAGGUAUGACUACCCGCUGAACUUAAGCAUAUCAAUAAGCGGAGGA
rnacentral:misc_RNA from 1 species